GGUUAAGCGACUAAGCGUACACGGUGGAUGCCCUGGCAGUCAGAGGCGAUGAAGGACGUGCUAAUCUGCGAUAAGCGUCGGUAAGGUGAUAUGAACCGUUAUAACCGGCGAUUUCCGAAUGGGGAAACCCAGUGUGAUUCGUCACACUAUCAUUAACUGAAUUCAUAGGUUAAUGAGGCGAACCGGGGGAACUGAAACAUCUAAGUACCCCGAGGAAAAGAAAUCAACCGAGAUUCCCCCAGUAGCGGCGAGCGAACGGGGAGCAGCCCAGAGCCUGAAUCAGUGUGUGUGUUAGUGGAAGCGUCUGGAAAGGCGCGCGAUACAGGGUGACAGCCCCGUACACAAAAAUGCACAUGCUGUGAGCUCGAUGAGUAGGGCGGGACACGUGGUAUCCUGUCUGAAUAUGGGGGGACCAUCCUCCAAGGCUAAAUACUCCUGACUGACCGAUAGUGAACCAGUACCGUGAGGGAAAGGCGAAAAGAACCCCGGCGAGGGGAGUGAAAAAGAACCUGAAACCGUGUACGUACAAGCAGUGGGAGCACGCUUAGGCGUGUGACUGCGUACCUUUUGUAUAAUGGGUCAGCGACUUAUAUUCUGUAGCAAGGUUAACCGAAUAGGGGAGCCGAAGGGAAACCGAGUCUUAACUGGGCGUUAAGUUGCAGGGUAUAGACCCGAAACCCGGUGAUCUAGCCAUGGGCAGGUUGAAGGUUGGGUAACACUAACUGGAGGACCGAACCGACUAAUGUUGAAAAAUUAGCGGAUGACUUGUGGCUGGGGGUGAAAGGCCAAUCAAACCGGGAGAUAGCUGGUUCUCCCCGAAAGCUAUUUAGGUAGCGCCUCGUGAAUUCAUCUCCGGGGGUAGAGCACUGUUUCGGCAAGGGGGUCAUCCCGACUUACCAACCCGAUGCAAACUGCGAAUACCGGAGAAUGUUAUCACGGGAGACACACGGCGGGUGCUAACGUCCGUCGUGAAGAGGGAAACAACCCAGACCGCCAGCUAAGGUCCCAAAGUCAUGGUUAAGUGGGAAACGAUGUGGGAAGGCCCAGACAGCCAGGAUGUUGGCUUAGAAGCAGCCAUCAUUUAAAGAAAGCGUAAUAGCUCACUGGUCGAGUCGGCCUGCGCGGAAGAUGUAACGGGGCUAAACCAUGCACCGAAGCUGCGGCAGCGACGCUGAUGCGUUGUUGGGUAGGGGAGCGUUCUGUAAGCCUGCGAAGGUGUGCUGUGAGGCAUGCUGGAGGUAUCAGAAGUGCGAAUGCUGACAUAAGUAACGAUAAAGCGGGUGAAAAGCCCGCUCGCCGGAAGACCAAGGGUUCCUGUCCAACGUUAAUCGGGGCAGGGUGAGUCGACCCCUAAGGCGAGGCCGAAAGGCGUAGUCGAUGGGAAACAGGUUAAUAUUCCUGUACUUGGUGUUACUGCGAAGGGGGGACGGAGAAGGCUAUGUUGGCCGGGCGACGGUUGUCCCGGUUUAAGCGUGUAGGCUGGUUUUCCAGGCAAAUCCGGAAAAUCAAGGCUGAGGCGUGAUGACGAGGCACUACGGUGCUGAAGCAACAAAUGCCCUGCUUCCAGGAAAAGCCUCUAAGCAUCAGGUAACAUCAAAUCGUACCCCAAACCGACACAGGUGGUCAGGUAGAGAAUACCAAGGCGCUUGAGAGAACUCGGGUGAAGGAACUAGGCAAAAUGGUGCCGUAACUUCGGGAGAAGGCACGCUGAUAUGUAGGUGAAGCGACUUGCUCGUGGAGCUGAAAUCAGUCGAAGAUACCAGCUGGCUGCAACUGUUUAUUAAAAACACAGCACUGUGCAAACACGAAAGUGGACGUAUACGGUGUGACGCCUGCCCGGUGCCGGAAGGUUAAUUGAUGGGGUUAGCGCAAGCGAAGCUCUUGAUCGAAGCCCCGGUAAACGGCGGCCGUAACUAUAACGGUCCUAAGGUAGCGAAAUUCCUUGUCGGGUAAGUUCCGACCUGCACGAAUGGCGUAAUGAUGGCCAGGCUGUCUCCACCCGAGACUCAGUGAAAUUGAACUCGCUGUGAAGAUGCAGUGUACCCGCGGCAAGACGGAAAGACCCCGUGAACCUUUACUAUAGCUUGACACUGAACAUUGAGCCUUGAUGUGUAGGAUAGGUGGGAGGCUUUGAAGUGUGGACGCCAGUCUGCAUGGAGCCGACCUUGAAAUACCACCCUUUAAUGUUUGAUGUUCUAACGUUGACCCGUGAUCCGGGUUGCGGACAGUGUCUGGUGGGUAGUUUGACUGGGGCGGUCUCCUCCUAAAGAGUAACGGAGGAGCACGAAGGUUGGCUAAUCCUGGUCGGACAUCAGGAGGUUAGUGCAAUGGCAUAAGCCAGCUUGACUGCGAGCGUGACGGCGCGAGCAGGUGCGAAAGCAGGUCAUAGUGAUCCGGUGGUUCUGAAUGGAAGGGCCAUCGCUCAACGGAUAAAAGGUACUCCGGGGAUAACAGGCUGAUACCGCCCAAGAGUUCAUAUCGACGGCGGUGUUUGGCACCUCGAUGUCGGCUCAUCACAUCCUGGGGCUGAAGUAGGUCCCAAGGGUAUGGCUGUUCGCCAUUUAAAGUGGUACGCGAGCUGGGUUUAGAACGUCGUGAGACAGUUCGGUCCCUAUCUGCCGUGGGCGCUGGAGAACUGAGGGGGGCUGCUCCUAGUACGAGAGGACCGGAGUGGACGCAUCACUGGUGUUCGGGUUGUCAUGCCAAUGGCACUGCCCGGUAGCUAAAUGCGGAAGAGAUAAGUGCUGAAAGCAUCUAAGCACGAAACUUGCCCCGAGAUGAGUUCUCCCUGACUCCUUGAGAGUCCUGAAGGAACGUUGAAGACGACGACGUUGAUAGGCCGGGUGUGUAAGCGCAGCGAUGCGUUGAGCUAACCGGUACUAAUGAACCGUGAGGCUUAACCUU
rnacentral:rRNA from 1 species